AUAGACCUGUCCAGACUGAAACCGUUGCAAAAUUUGAAAUCUCAGACAUUCAGUGCUAACCAUAAAGGAUCUAAGUGGCAUUUUAGCUAUUUUGGAGAUAUCAUCUUGUUUUUGAAUGUUGUGUACAUUAUUGUGGAAUUUUCAAAGAAAACAUUUAUCUAAAUGUGACAAGAUUGUGGAAUUGUUUGGUUGUUGUAAUUGAACUAAGAAUGACCUGAGACAGGAAGUUAUGCAAGAAUCAUAGUAAACAGUUUCAGGAACAGCUGUAUGGAUAUGUAAAGUAGAGUGAUGACUUCUCAAAAGCCAGCAGGCUCCUGUUCAGAAAACUUUAUAGUGUUGAAGAAUACAGGGGCAGGUGUUUUACUGGCAACAGUACCAACACUAAAACCAAAAUCAAUUAAGGCCAGCAUUGGAGGACACAAUAUUACUGAAAGUCUUUCAUGAGUUGAUCAAGAGAAAAAGGCCAUAAUAAUGUGACUUUUGAAGCUGUCCAGAAAUUGACAUUGACAUUGAUGUUACCAAGAGGAAUAAAAAUUGUUUUAAUAGUUAUAAUAUUUUAUGUUUUGUAUUCUACCAGUGUUACAUAUAGUGUUUAAAAGUGAUGGAGGGCGAGUUUAUCAAUAAGUCAGGGAUUAAGGCAACUAGUUAUAAGAAUGAUGAAAAUUCCAUAUCUCAAAGGGGCAAUUGUAAGAAAGCACAGAAAUUACAAGCAUCAAAGA